ACACCCAGUUUCACCAGCACGUUUUUCAAACUCUAAACUGAUGUAUGCAACGUUUCAGUUGUAAGUUACAACUUAAGCCUGGUGUUCAGACGAAAUAAAUCCGUCUGUUUUCAGCCUCUGCAAUGCCAUUAGGCUUGACCACGCCGGAAGCUGUCGAUGAGCCUCGUUCUGAGUCCUCGAACUCCGUAACGUAGUUACCGUUGCCGUUACCCACGUCCCUUCUGUUUACAACAGAAAAACGAUCGCAUUUGCUCCGCUGACCUCUACGUUUCACUCACUGCUGUAUCUUUCCAAGUGUGCCUUCUUCCAAGAUGAACACAAGGCUUCACAUUCAAGCUCGGGAGGACAUAAUUCGCUAUUAUGGCACUCCUGCGGCUGUGAGUUUGUGGCCGUCUCAGGAUGAGGAGUCCGACUGUGUAUGUAGUUUUACAUGCCCUCCCUGUCACUUCUUCCUUCUAUUAUAGCCCCUGUUUUAUUGUACAUUGAGUCUGCCCAGUCCCUAUAAUAAACUGUGAUUCGUUUUCUUUGCAAACGUAUCCCGUA